rnacentral:other from 2 species
ACGAAUGUCAAAGGGGAGUAGCGUUAAAUGAUUUAAGACACGAUAAUUUGUGACUUAAACAUUUAAAACAAAGUCGUCAUUACAUGGGUGUAAAAUCCAUCGGCUUUGUUGACAUGAAUAAUGUCUAGCAAGACCUUUGCCUAUAAUAGGCAGAGGUCUUUUUGUCUUUAUAGGGUUUUUCGUCAC